rnacentral:rRNA from 1 species
UACGUAGGGGGCUAGCGUUGUCCGGAUUUAUUGGGCGUAAAGAGCGUGUAGGCGGCCAGGUAGGUCUGGUGUGAAAACUCGAGGCUUAACCUCGAGAUGUCAUCGGAAACCAUCUGGCUAGAGUCCGGAAGAGGAGAGUGGAACUGCGAGUGUAGAGGUGAAAUUCGUAGAUAUUCGCAAGAACACCAGUGGCGAAGGCGGCUCACUGGCCCGAUACUGACGCUGAGGCACGAAAGCGUGGGGAGCAAACAGG